CCCUUAGACGUUCUGGGCCGCACGCGCGCUACACUGACGGAGCCAGCGAGUAUAAACCUUGGCCGAGAGGUCUGGGAAAUCUUGUGAAACUCCGUCGUGCUGGGGAUAGAGCAUUGUAAUUAUUGCUCUUCGACGAGGAAUUCCUAGUAAGCGCAAGUCAUCAGCUUGCGUUGAUUACGUCCCUGCCCUUUGUACACACCGCCCGUCGCUACUACCGAUUGAAUGGCUUAGUGAGGCUUCCGGAUUGGUUUAGAGAAGGGGGCAACUCCAUCUUGGAACCGAGAAGCUAGUCAAACUUGGUCAUUUAGAGGAAGUAAAAGUCGUAACA
rnacentral:rRNA from 1 species